UGAGGAAUAUUGGACAAUGGGCGCAAGCCUGAUCCAGCCAUGCCGCGUGCAGGAAGACGCAUCUAUGGUGUGUAAACUGCUUUUGUACGGGAAGAAACACUCCCUCGUGAGGGAGCUUGACGGUACCGUAAGAAUAAGGAUCGGCUAACUCCGUGCCAGCAGCCGCGGUAAUACGGAGGAUCCAAGCGUUAUCCGGAAUCAUUGGGUUUAAAGGGUCCGUAGGCGGUUUAAUAAGUCAGUGGUGAAAGCCCAUCGCUCAACGAUGGAACGGCCAUUGAUACUGUUAGACUUGAAUUACAAGGAAGUAACUAGAAUAUGUAGUGUAGCGGUGAAAUGCUUAGAUAUUACAUGGAAUACCAAUUGCGAAGGCAGGUUACUACUUGUGGAUUGACGCUGAUGGACGAAAGCGUGGGGAGCGAACAGG
rnacentral:rRNA from 1 species